UACAGAGGGUGCGAACGUUGCUCGGAAUUACUGGGCGUAAAGCGCAUGUAGGCGGAUCCAUAAGUCGGGCGUGAAAUCCCCAGGCUCAACCUGGGAACUGCGCUCGAAACUGUAGGUCUUGAGUGUCGGAGAGGAUGGCGGAAUUCCUGGUGUAGAGGUGAAAUUCGUAGAUAUCAGGAGGAACACCGGUGGCGAAGGCGGCCAUCUGGACGACAACUGACGCUGAGACGCGAAAGCGUGGGGAGCAAACAGG
rnacentral:rRNA from 1 species